rfam:Spinacia oleracea cultivar SynViroflay scaffold62897.con0001.1, whole genome shotgun sequence.
AGCCUACUAGCUCAACUGGUCGAGCACUGUGUACUGGUACUUCAAACCAAUACAAAGAUGAUGUAGGUUCAAAUCCUACAUAGGCUA